CCUACGGGUGGCUGCAGUGGGGAAUAUUGGACAAUGGGCGAAAGCCUGAUCCAGCCAUGCCGCGUGUGUGAAGAAGGCCUUCGGGUUGUAAAGCACUUUCAGUGGGGAAGAAAGCCUUGGGGCUAAUACCCUCGAGGAAGGACAUCACCAACAGAAGAAGCACCGGCUAACUCCGUGCCAGCAGCCGCGGUAAUACGGAGGGUGCGAGCGUUAAUCGGAAUUACUGGGCGUAAAGCGCGCGUAGGCGGUCUGAUAAGCCGGUUGUGAAAGCCCCGGGCUCAACCUGGGAACGGCAUCCGGAACUGUCAGGCUAGAGUGCAGGAGAGGAAGGUAGAAUUCCCGGUGUAGCGGUGAAAUGCGUAGAGAUCGGGAGGAAUACCAGUGGCGAAGGCGGCCUUCUGGACUGACACUGACGCUGAGGUGCGAAAGCGUGGGUAGCAAACAGGAUUAGAUACCCUGGUAG
rnacentral:rRNA from 1 species